GUGCUAUACAUGCAAGUCGAGCGAACUGAUGAAGAGCUUGCUUUUGAUCAGUUAGCGGCGGACGGGUGAGUAACACGUGGGUAACCUGCCUGUAAGACUAGGAUAACUCCGGGAAACCGGGGCUAAUACUGGAUAACUUUUCUCUCCGCAUGGAGAGAGAUUGAAAGAUGGCUUCGGCUAUCACUUACAGAUGGACCCGCGGCGCAUUAGCUAGUUGGUGAGGUAACGGCUCACCAAGGCAACGAUGCGUAGCCGACCUGAGAGGGUGAUCGGCCACAUUGGGACUGAGACACGGCCCAAACUCCUACGGGAGGCAGCAGUAGGGAAUCUUCCGCAAUGGACGAAAGUCUGACGGAGCAACGCCGCGUGAGUGAAGAAGGUCUUCGGAUCGUAAAACUCUGUUGUUAGGGAAGAACAAGUAUCGUUCGAAUAGGGCGGUACCUUGACGGUACCUAACCAGAAAGCCACGGCUAACUACGUGCCAGCAGCCGCGGUAAUACGUAGGUGGCAAGCGUUGUCCGGAAUUAUUGGGCGUAAAGCGCGCGCAGGCGGUCUUUUAAGUCUGAUGUGAAAGCCCACGGCUCAACCGUGGAGGGUCAUUGGAAACUGGAAGACUUGAGUGCAGAAGAGGAGAGUGGAAUUCCACGUGUAGCGGUGAAAUGCGUAAAGAUGUGGAGGAACACCAGUGGCGAAGGCGACUCUCUGGUCUGUAACUGACGCUGAGGCGCGAAAGCGUGGGGAGCAAACAGGAUUAUAUACCCUGGUAGUCCACGCCGUAAACGAUGAGUGCUAAGUGUUAGAGGGUGUCCGCCCUUUAGUGCUGCAGCUAACACAUUAAGCACUCCUCCUGGGGAGUACUACCGCAGUGUUGAAACUCCCACGAAGUGACGGGGGGCGGCUCAAACGGUGGAGCAUGUGGUUUAUUUCGAAGCCACUCUAAGAACCAUAACUUGGUCGUGACAUCCUCUGACCUCCCUAUAGAUAGGGCCGGCGCCUUCCGUGUACG
rnacentral:rRNA from 1 species